GCUAUGUAAUUUGGGCACAGAGAUAAAAGGGAAGUGCUAGCUGCUGAUGGCUGUCUCUACGGGUGGGUGAUGGACAAGUGAGUAUGGAUGGUCCUGAUGCUGCGGGACCAAGGAGGGUGGGGGCAGCGGGGACAGGCCAUAUCCUCUGCUGGCUCAUUUUCCUGUUGGGACUGUGUUUGUCACAGAGGCCUCCUUAUGGAACAGGGCUCACUCUCCUGUUGCUUUCCCUUAGCCCCCGCCAUUAUUCAUUUUCUUCCCUGUAGCCAGAGUAAUGUUUAAAAAUGUAUUGGUCCAUGCUUUCCCAUCUCAUCUACUGCCCACCUGCUUCCCCACAGUCUGACUCCCAUUGCCCUCUGCCCCUCACUCUCCAGGCCCUAGCUUCAUUCCUGCCUGGAGUGUGUCACACUGGCUCCAGCCCUAAGGCCUCUGCACUGGGUGUGGGCCUAGAGCUCUCCCUCCCUGACUGGCUAUCCUUGAGCUAUUCCAGUGUCUGAGAUCUAGGUUUCACUGUCACUUCUCCGGUCUUUCAUCUAUAUCAGUCCACCAGGCCAACAUCAUGCCACCUAACUUUAAUUCUCACACCACUUCCACCCCUAAUUAUUUCAACUUUGGGGGAGCCAGGAUCUCACCUGUCACCUUCACUCUUGUACCUGCAGUGGGCAAGUAUUUGACUGAAUGACUUAAUUCAUGAAAAGCUGUUGAGUCUGGAUAGUGAAAUGAUUGGAUGUAAUUUAGGGUUACUCUUGGAGAGGGGGUUUUGAGGUGUUGGAAGGAGGUACACUUGAUACCAUGUAUUACUUUACUUUAGUUAAGGAAGACAUGAUGGAGACAGAUUGUGGUGUCCUUGUUUUACUCCAGGCACAGGGAUGUCCAGUAGAUGCUGGGGAGACAGGUGAGAGGCUGAGUUCCAAGGCUGUGGGCAUCUUGAUUCCUCCCCUCUCAGCUACAGGUGUCCUGUUUUAAAGGUCCCACUGUGGAGCUAAGCGGACAGUGAGGACUGAGAUGGAAAUCAAGAGUCUAGAAGCAACAUGGACUUGGGGCAAAUGCUUUCUUGGCACCCUAAGUUAGAACCCAAGACCUAUUUUUCCAUAAAGAUCUACACUAA